rnacentral:rRNA from 1 species
UACGAAGGGGGCUAGCGUUGUUCGGAAUUACUGGGCGUAAAGGGCUCGUAGGUGGCCAACUAAGUCAGACGUGAAAUCCCUCGGCUUAACCGAGGAACUGCGUCUGAUACUGGAUGGCUUGAGUUUGGGAGAGGGAUGCGGAAUUCCAGGUGUAGCGGUGAAAUGCGUAGAUAUCUGGAGGAACACCGGUGGCGAAGGCGGCAUCCUGGACCAACACUGACGCUGAACAGCGAAAGCCAGGGGAGCAAACGGG